GUGCCAGCAGCCGCGGUAAUACGUAGGUCCCGAGCGUUGUCCGGAUUUAUUGGGCGUAAAGGGAGCGCAGGCGGUCAGGAAAGUCUGGAGUAAAAGGCUAUGGCUCAACCAUAGUGUGCUCUGGAAACUGUCUGACUUGAGUGCAGAAGGGGAGAGUGGAAUUCCAUGUGUAGCGGUGAAAUGCGUAGAUAUAUGGAGGAACACCAGUGGCGAAAGCGGCUCUCUGGUCUGUCACUGACGCUGAGGCUCGAAAGCGUGGG
rnacentral:rRNA from 1 species